CCCUGGAAGGAAGGAUCGCUGCUGCUGCUGAGCCUCUCUCUGCCUGAUGAGACGCCAAGUUUAUUGGGACCUAGGAGCACUGUCCCAUGCCACACGUGCACGGGCGCAAUGCCGACGCGCCAGGCCGGUAGCAGCGUGUUUGCACGAACAAACACGCGUGAGCACAUCGAUUAGCCGCGGCGGGAGUACAAGGGGAUUAAAUUGGGAGUCUGGACCCUGGAAACAUGGGAUCCUGGAAGCUAGUACUAAUUAACAAGCUGUAUUUUACCGCGGCUGCAGAGGAGGGAGGGAAUGCGAGGUGCCGCGCAUGCCGACGCACGAGAAGAGGAGAAGGAAACUUGAAGCGGAAGGGUACGUCUGACCCACACGAUCCAGCAGAAGCCGCACGAGCGGCAAACCGACCACUAGCCUACGUGCUCUGAGGUUUCUCGCAUCAAUGUCCGUGGAGGCUCUGUUGACGACACCGACGCAGCAGUGCUGUGCAGCACCGGAUGCACGAAUGGCCGGACCAGUCUGAAAAGCUUCGGUUAAAGAAUGGUGCCAUAUGUGACUACGAUGGUGACCUGCCUGGUGAUCAGUGACCUAUACCUUGGGUUUUCUCACACGGUUUCUUGGUAACUUGUCCGCCUGCUUCGCCUCUGGCACCGUGGUCCACCACU